rnacentral:rRNA from 1 species
GACGAACCGUGCGAACGUUGUUCGGAAUCACUGGGCUUAAAGGGCGCGUAGGCGGGCCGCCAAGUCCGCGGUGAAAUCCCCCGGCUCAACCGGGGAACUGCCGCGGAUACUGGAGGUCUCGAGGGGGGUAGGGGCAUGCGGAACUGCGGGUGGAGCGGUGAAAUGCGUUGAUAUCCGCAGGAACUCCGGUGGCGAAGGCGACUACCUGGCCUGUUCUUGACGCUGGAGGCGCGAAAGCUAGGGGAGCAAACGGG